AUUGAACGCUGGCGGCAGGCCUAACACAUGCAAGUCGAACGAGUGGCGGACGGGUGAGUAAUGUCUGGGAAACUGCCUGAUGGAGGGGGAUAACUACUGAAAACGGUAGCUCAUACCGCAUACCAUCAGAUGUGCCCAGAUGGGAUUAGCUAGUUGGAGGGGUAACGGCUCACCAAGGCGACGAUCCCUAGCUGGUCUGAGAGGAUGACCAGCAACACUGGAACAGAGACACGGUGCAGACGCAUACGGUAGGUAGCAGUGGGGAAUAUUGCACAAGGGGCGCAAGCCGGAUGCAGCCAGGCCGCGUGUAUGAAGAAGGCCUGGGGGUUGUAAAGUACUUGCAGCGGGGAGGCGUUACCCGCAGAAGAAGCACCGGCUAACUCCGUGCCAGCAGCCGCGGUAAUUC
rnacentral:rRNA from 1 species